GACGAACGCUGGCGGCGUGCUUAACACAUGCAAGUCGAACGGUAAGGCCCUUCGGGGUACACGAGUGGCGAACGGGUGAGUAACACGUGGGUGAUCUGCCCUGCACUUCGGGAUAAGCCUGGGAAACUGGGUCUAAUACCGGAUAGGACCACUGCCUGCAUGGGCGGUGGGGGAAAGCUUUUGCGGUGUGGGAUGGGCCCGCGGCCUAUCAGCGUGUUGGUGGGGUGAUGGCCUACCAAGGCGACGACGGGUAGCCGGCCUGAGAGGGUGACCGGCCACACUGGGACUGAGAUACGGCCCAGACUCCUACGGGAGGCAGCAGUGGGGAAUAUUGCACAAUGGGCGCAAGCCUGAUGCAGCGACGCCGCGUGAGGGAUGACGGCCUUCGGGUUGUAAACCUCUUUCAGCACCGACGAAGCGCAAGUGACGGUAGGUGCAGAAGAAGGACCGGCCAACUACGUGCCAGCAGCCGCGGUAAUAC
rnacentral:rRNA from 1 species